AUGAACGCUGGCGGCGUGCCUAAUACCUGCAAGUCGAGCGAACAGACGAGGAGCUUGCUCCUCUGACGUUAGCGGCGGACGGGUGAGUAACACGUGGAUAACCUACCUAUAAGACUGGGAUAACUUCGGGAAACCGGAGCUAAUACCGGAUAAUAUAUUGAACCGCAUGGUUCCAUAGUGUAAGACGGUUUUGCUGUCACUUAUAGAUGGAUCCGCGCCGCAUUAGCUAGUUGGUAAGGUAACGGCUUACCAAGGCAACGAUGCGUAGCCGACCUGAGAGGGUGAUCGGCCACACUGGAACUGAGACACGGUCCAGACUCCUACGGGAGGCAGCAGUAGGGAAUCUUCCGCAAUGGGCGAAAGCUUGACGGAGCAACGCCGCGUGAGUGAUGAAGGUCUUCGGAUCGUAAAACUCUGUUAUUAGGGAAGAACAAAUGUGUAAGUAACUAUGCACGUCUUGACGGUACCUAAUCAGAAAGCCACGGCUAACUACGUG
rnacentral:rRNA from 1 species